GUGCCAGCAGCCGCGGUAAGACGGAGGAGGCAAGCGUUAUCCGGAAUGAUUGGGCGUAAAGCGUCCGUAGGUGGCUCAUCAAGUCUGCUGUCAAAAUGCGGAGCUCAACUCCGUAUCGGCGGUGGAAACUGAGAAGCUAGAGUGCAGUAGGGGUAGAGGGAAUUCCCAGUGUAGCGGUGAAAUGCGUAGAGAUUGGGAAGAACACCGGUGGCGAAAGCGCUCUACUGGGCUGCAACUGACGCUGAGGGACGAAAGCUAGGGGAGCGAAAGGGAUUAGAUACCCCUGUAGUCCUAGCCGUAAACGAUGGGUACUAGGCGUAGCUUGUAUCGACCCGAGCUGUGCCGAAGUUAACACGUUAAGUACCCCGCCUGGGGAGUACGCACGCAAGUGUGAAACUUAAAUGAAUUGACGGGG
rnacentral:rRNA from 1 species